UACGUAGGGUGCGAGCGUUAAUCGGAAUUACUGGGCGUAAAGCGUGCGCAGGCGGUUUGUUAAGACAGAUGUGAAAUCCCCCGGGCUUAACCUGGGAACUGCAUUUGUGACUGGCAAGCUAGAGUAUGGCAGAGGGGGGGUAGAAUUCCACGUGUAGCAGUGAAAAUGCGUAGAGAUGUGGAGGAAUACCGAUGGCGAAAGGCAGCCCCCCUGGGGCCCAAUAC
rnacentral:rRNA from 1 species